rnacentral:lncRNA from 1 species
AUAUGCAAAGAGAAGAAUAUGAAAAGAAGGCCUUGUGACAAAAAUAUGAUUAGAAGAAGUCUUGGCCUUUUUGUUUUCACUUUGUUUGGAACAUUCCCCAUGAUGAAAGGAAGAAUCAAAGUGAUGUUUUUGAGAAGGAUAGUCAAGGUAUUUACCUGCUAANGAAGGAGUUAAUAUCAUGCAUACCUUUGUCUCCUUCUUCUUUUCUUGAUAAGGUUGCUUUUCCAACAAACUUUCUUGUUUUCUUUCUUUUUCAAUUUUUUCUUUGAUUUUUAUCUCAUCCUCUUUUACUUGUUNAGGUGUAAGAGGAAUCAAUGUUAUUUUAUUGCCUUUAUGGAGGAAAGUUAUUUUGUUGGUAUAGCCAUCAUGAGUGGAGUUAUGAUCAUAUUGCCAUGGCCUACCAAGUAAU